GAACUCAGAUAACCCAGUUCAAAGCAGAUCUUGUGGGAUUUUCUGCCUUGAUAUCCUGGGUUAUAUGGCUGUGUGGAAAGGCUCUCGAUUAUCUGAGUCCACACUGUCAUAUAGCCCAGUUCAAAGCAGAUGUGGGAUUGUGCACAGCUGAGUGGAAGGGAGCUAAGAUUCCACCAGAUGGCGCCAUGCCGGUUGAAGUGUUGUCGAACUGCAAUACACUGCAGUGUAGAUGUGAGGGCAGAGAGGUGGUUUUUCCCGUUCGUGAGAAAUGCAACACCUGCAUAACGCCAUAGGCAAUACUAUCCGCAAUUGACCCGAAGUCGGGAAGAGCCAGGGCCCUCCCUCAGUGUCGUAAAAAGCGACCUUUGUGCUUCCCUCGAUAUUAAACAGGCCAAACCUUUGGGAACCUCGGCCUUUCCAAAGCCUCAGCGGCCUUGAGAAGACGCCUUGUGUCUCUUUUUAUUGGCUCGGGUCGGGAGCCGGGACUACUUUUCUCGCCCCCAAUUGAAUUAGCGGAGUCCGAAGGGGGACUCUUCUGCUAUUUCUCUCACUCACUGAGCAAUAAGGAUGAAAGAAAGUAACCCUCCGCGGUCUCUCGCCUUUUCGCAGCAGUGCCGAGCUGCCUUUUAUGUGCUCACGCCCAACGAGAGCUCCUUCCGCAGCGUCGAGGAAGUUCCUGAUUACGUGGACCAGGCAACUCCUUUGUUCCUUACCCUGAUUUUUCUGGAGUUUGUUAUUAAGUGGGCUCAGAAGGGACAUUCAUCAGCUCAGGUCAAUGAUGGCAUCGCAUCUCUCUCUGCAGGUGUUCUGUCUCGACUUCCAGAGUAAGUCUGGGUUGGUUUCAUGGUUUAGUUGAUUCCAGUUUAGGCUGGGGGAAAGUUCUUCAAUGCCAAAGGUUUUUAAAAAUCUUUAACUAUGGGGAAAAUGUGAGGAGCUACUUAAGACACAUAGCUAAUCAUAUAUAUAUGCUUCAAUAGGACUUAUUUUUCCAUCUCUGUAUUUCAAACUGUGUAGAGGGUUUCAUUUGCUUCUUUCCAAAAGCUGGAAUUCAGGUUUGUCCAUCUGGUUCAAAAGAAGCAGAAGGAAAUGUUUCUUCACACAAAAAUUAAUUGGCCAAGGAAAGUGAGUUUUUUCUUAUGGCACA
rnacentral:lncRNA from 11 species